UACGUAGGCAGCGAGCGUUGUUCGGAGUUACUGGGCGUAAAGGGUGCGUAGGCGGCGCGGUAAGUCGGGUGUGAAAUCUCGGAGCUUAACUCCGAAACUGCAUUCGAUACUGCCGUGCUUGAGGACUGGAGAGGAGACUGGAAUUUACGGUGUAGAGGUGAAAUUCGUAGAUAUUCGCAAGAACACCAGUGGCGAAGGCGGCUCACUGGCCCGGUACUGACGCUGAGGCACGAAAGCGUGGGGAGCAAACAGGG
rnacentral:rRNA from 1 species